CGUUAAAACCCAAAGGCGCAAUGAAAGUGAAGGGGGGCCUAGCGCCCCACCAGGGAGGAUUGGGCGGUCGUCGCUUCGCUUCGCUCCGCCCACGCACUCCCGGGGCGUCUCCAUCUCAUCGCGAGAGGAGGCGCACCUUGAGCGUACACGCUGUGACCCGAAAGAUGGUGAACUAUGCCUGGCCGGGACGAAGCCAGGGGAAACCCUGGUGGAGGUCCGUAGCGAUUCUGACGUGCAAAUCGAUCGUUAGAGCUUGGUAUAGGGGCGAAAGACCAAUCGAACUAUCUAGUAGCUGGUUCCCUCCGAAGUUUCCCUCAGGAUAGCUGGCGCUCAUGAGAUACGAGUCUCAACUGGUAAAGCGAAUGACUAGAGGAAUUGGGGUCGAAACGACCUCAACCUAUUCUCAAACUUUAAAUAGAUGAGAACCCUGGCUUGCUUA
rnacentral:rRNA from 1 species